UACGUAGGGUGCAAGCGUUAAUCGGAAUUACUGGGCGUAAAGCGCACGUAGGCGGCUUUGUAAGUCUGACGUGAAAUCCCCGGGCUUAACCUGGGAAUUGCGUUGGAGACUGCAAGGCUGGAGUCUGGCAGAGGGGGGUAGAAUUCCACGUGUAGCAGUGAAAUGCGUAGAGAUGUGGAGGAACACCGAUGGCGAAGGCAGCCCCCUGGGUCAAGACUGACGCUCAUGCACGAAAGCGUGGGGAGCAAACAGG
rnacentral:rRNA from 1 species